ensembl:lncRNA novel transcript
CCACUCCGCCAUUUUCCUCCGGAAGUGCGGCACCCAGAGGCCGUCCUGUAGCCGGGCCGGCUUGGGGCUUGGUUCUAUGUCCCUGCGGGGAAGAACUCACUGAUUCCGCGAGGGAGAUGGCUUAAUGGAUGAUGGUCGUCAGCCUUAAGGAUACUUCAGUCUUAACUGUGUGUUACAAAGUUUGAAAGGGAGGGUUCCCUAUGAAUAAGAAGCACACUUGAAAGAACAGCCAUCUGGUCUAACCUCUCACUGGUGCUUCAGAGGAGGAAAAAAGGUCACAGCUAUGUUUCCAGUGUCCUCUGGGUGUUUCCAAGAGCAACAAGAAAUGAAUAAAUCUCUGUUGAAGAGAUACCAUUUGACAUUUUAGAGAUGGCUGCAUGCAAACUCUUGAAACAUUUGACCACCCUCCAGGGUGCCCCGACUCACUUUCCCUGCAGAUGGAGGCAAGGAGGCUCCACAGACAACCCCCCUGCCUGAGGUCACAUAGUGGCCAGCAGGCCAGAGCUGGCGCAGAGAAAAUACAAGCUGAGCUUAGAACAUCUUCUGCCAGAAAGUAAAAAAGUGCCGACAGAGUAAUGGAGACAAAUCAAAGAGACAUAAAGUCAGCUUGGAAUGUCUACUACUGGCCUAAUCUUGGGGAAUUGGAGCAUCAGAAUCAUGAGCUUUCCUUCUCCCUUAUUUAUUGGUUUUAUUUCUCCAUGUAGAACAAAGAAGAGAAUAAGAAAAUAAUCAUCUGGUAACCAUCAUAGUAAUAAUUGUUCAAACACAAGUCAUCCAUGAAAUGCUAAAUCUAGUGGGUUCUGAGGAGUAAC